rnacentral:misc_RNA from 1 species
CGAGGCCAUAUCGUUUGCUGCACGUUUGAUGCAUCGGCAGUCUCACCCCACAUGCAAACUUCUCCUCCAAUGAUAAGCUUUUGCUGAGAAGAAUCUGAUAUUCCUUCAAGGGGAUCAGCACGGUAUGCACGAUCCCACGGCACAUCUAAAUGGUCAAGAUACCAAACACCUUGAUCACUAAAGAUGCAUCUAAAACCAUCCCCAACAGCCUUGGGACAAAUCCCACCACGCAACCUAUAGACAGCAAUACAUUGAGAUGUAGCUCGGGGGAGAGAGGGACAGAGAGAACAUGCCAGUUUCUUUAACAUGAUAACUCUAAGAUUUCAAAGAACAGUUGAACUUACCAAUUAUGCACUAUCGUCCUAGGAUUCAGACCUUUUUCAAAGUUAAUGAAUGUUUCCUCCCUGAAAAGAGAAGAUUAGAACCACUCAAAUGGCUGGUGAUUAAACAGUACCAUUCCUACUGCCAUUGGACAUGACAGAGAAG